GCUGAUUGGUUGAGGAAGUUCCGUUAGUCAGGAGAAACAGAGCAGAGAUAUAAAAACUCCUCUCAUCUAAACUCAUCUCUCACUUUUCAGAGAAACACCUUCUCAGAUCUUACAGCAUGUCCUCCUCCUCCAACCUGCCAGAUCUGGAGCUGGAGCUCGGAGAGCUUCUUCAGGAGUUUGAUGCUGUGGCUGAGGAGCUCUCGGCCCCGUCGCUCACCGCUCCUCACGCCUACGAGCAUCUCCUCAACCAGGCCAAACGCCGACCCAACGACGGCGUGACCGACAGCGGCAUCGAAGACGCAGACGAGGGAAGCGAAUCGUCGUGGGGAAACAGCUUAAACGCGAGUGUGGAGGAGCUGAGCACCGCCGGCACCACGACCGCACAGAAAGAGAUGUGAGCCGACAGAAUUCACGGGACGGCAGGACGGGAGCCAGACGACCGGCCGGCGCUGGAACACACAACGAGAGCCGGAGGAACUUCCUGAGAACUGCCGUCUACCAGAUCCUCAUAUUAGCUUAGCUUAGCAUCUGCUGGGGUAAGAGUAUGGUGGAGUAGUUCAUCCUGAAAUACAUAAAUAUAAACAUUGAGAUUACAUUACAUUACAUAAGAUUACAUUACAUUACAUUACAUAACAUUACAUUACAUUACAUUACAUAAGAUUACAUUACAU
rnacentral:lncRNA from 1 species